AUUUUCUCAGGACUCCAACAUUUAAAGGAACAGAUUCUAGCCACAAGACAACAGGCUUAACUUCCCUUUGAAGGAGCAGAACAAGUUACCUCAGAGACAGCCAAGAAGUGACCUCAGAGACAGCCAAGGAGUGACCUCAGAGACAACCAACGAGUUACCUCAGAGACAGCCAAGGAGUGACCUCAGAAACAACCAAGGAGUUACCUCAGAGACAGACAAGGAGUUACCUCAGAGACAACCAAGGAGUUACCUCAGAGACAGCCAAAGUGAUACCUCAGAGAUGGCCAAGGAGUUACCUCAGAGACAGCCAAGGAGUGACCUCAGAGACAAGGACAAGCAGGAGACUUCUUCAAAACUUAAAGCUUUCACAGAAGGAGAUUAAUGCUGCUGGCUGCUUCAGUCAGUGAAGCUCCCUGGUGCAGCAAGCAGUGGCAACUACAGAAACUCACAGCUGAUCAAAGAGAUGAGAGUUCCUGAGGUUGGGAUCCCCAGCCAUACAUGGGACAUCUAGACCAUAGCUUCCAAGCUGCAGCGAACAUUGCAGAAGGGACACAAGACUGUAAGAGACAGA
rnacentral:lncRNA from 1 species